CCUACGGGUGGCUGCCGUGAGGAAUAUUGGUCAAUGGCCGUAAGGCUGAACCAGCCAAGCCGCGUGAAGGACGAAGGUUCCAAGCAUUGUAAACUUCUUUUGUCAAGGGACAAAAUCAGGCUCGAGAGCCUGACCGAGGGUACUUGAUGAAAAAGCAUCGGCUAACUCCGUGCCAGCAGCCGCGGUAAUACGGAGGAUGCGAGCGUUAUCCGGAUUUAUUGGGUUUAAAGGGUGCGUAGGCGGGCUGUUAAGUCAGCGGUAAAAGCCCGGGGCUAAACCUCGGAGAGCAGUUGAAACUGGCUGUCUUGAGAUGUCGAGAGGUAGGCGGAAUGCGCAGUGUAGCGGUGAAAUGCUUAGAUAUCGCGCAGAACUCCGAUUGCGAAGGCAGCAUACCGGCGGCGAUCUGACGCUGAGGCACGAAAGCGUGGGUAUCGAACAGGAUUAGAUACCCUUGUAGUC
rnacentral:rRNA from 1 species